rnacentral:rRNA from 1 species
AUUGAACGCUGGCGGCAGGCCUAACACAUGCAAGUCGAACGAGUGGCGGACGGGUGAGUAAUGUCUGGGAAACUGCCUGAUGGAGGGGGAUAACUACUGGAAACGGUAGCUAAUAACGCAUACCAUCGGAUGUUCCCAGAUGGGAUUAGCUAGUGGGUGGGGUAACGACUCACCAAGGCGACGAUCCCUAGCUGGUCUGAGCGGAUUACCAGCCCCACUGGAACUGAGACACGGUCCAGACUCCUACGUGAGGCAGCAGUGGGGAAUAUUGCACAAUGGGCGCAAGCCUGAUGCAGCCAUGCCGCGUGUAUGAAGAAGGCCUUAGGGUUGUAAAGUACUUUCAGCGGGGAGGCGUUACCCGCAGAAGAAGCACCGGCUAACUCCGUGCCAGCAGCCGCGGUAAUUC